AGAGUUUGAUCCUGGCUCAGAUUGAACGCUGGCGGCAUGCCUAACACAUGCAAGUCGAACGGAAACGAUGGAAGCUUGCUUCCAGGCGUCGAGUGGCGGACGGGUGAGUAAUACUUAGGAAUCUGCCCAUUAGUGGGGGACAACUCGGGGAAACUCGAGCUAAUACCGCAUACGCCCUACGGGGGAAAGCGGGGGAUCUUCGGACCUCGCGCUAAUGGAUGAGCCUAAGUCGGAUUAGCUUGUUGGUGAGGUAAUGGCUCACCAAGGCGACGAUCCGUAGCUGGUCUGAGAGGACGAUCAGCCACACUGGGACUGAGACACGGCCCAGACUCCUACGGGAGGCAGCAGUGGGGAAUAUUGGACAAUGGGCGCAAGCCUGAUCCAGCAAUGCCGCGUGCGUGAAGAAGGCCUGCGGGUUGUAAAGCACUUUCAGUAGAGAAGAAAAGCUUAAGGAUAAUACCCUUGAGUCUUGACGUAACCUACAGAAGAAGCUCCGCUAACU
rnacentral:rRNA from 1 species